rnacentral:lncRNA from 1 species
UGGGAUCAGCGCCGUUUUCACAAGACCCCGACCUAUACACACAGGAGAAUGAGCGUCGUUUGAACAAAAAGAGACGACCAGNNNNNNNNNNNNNNNNNNNNNNNNNCCCCCCCCCCCCCCCAUCAGCACCUUUUCUUCGAUCUUGAGAACAAAAAAUCCCUCACCCUUCCACCGUCAAACACACCUAGAACUCCUCCAUAAAAGCCCCAACCUAACAACAGUACCAACACAAUCAGCAACCUUCGCUGACUCCCCGCCCCCCCUUUUAUGUCGCCUGAGACAACAACAAAAACGGAUCUAAGAAGGACGGACGAAGGAGACGAGUACAACGACAACGUAUAAGGAGAUUCAAUGUUUGAUUUCGGAUUCAAAUCCUACUGAUUUUCGUUCCAUAGUUUCUCUCGCUCUUCUGCUUUUGAUUCUAAAAGCCAUGGAAUCUGAUGGAGCUUUGAUUGAGGUUUGAUACGUCGUUGAUUUGAGGGCUGUCAUUUGUGGUGGAAGUUCGCGAUUUCUGCUGAUUUUUAGUCGCUGAUUUCGCUCGGAUUUAGAGUCGAAACUUGGUACUCGACAAUUCUUCUACCAAUAUUAAGGAAGUCUUUGUUUAAACAGGUUCUUCUCCUCACUAAUUCAUCUUCUUCAAUUUUCUGGUUGUGAAUUUAGGUAUCCAAGAGCCGGGUUAAGAUGAGUUUUGUUUUACAUGUGUUUAUGUGGUGAUAUAAUUGUUAUGGUGCAUUUAUGAGUUAAUUUCCAAUCGUUUGAUUUUUCCGAAUCCGAUUUCCCUCGGUUUAAUUAGCUUCUCGUAUUCUAUCACUGUUAGUAUAAUACAAUGUUAAAAUGUUAAGGGGAGAUGUUGAGUCAACAGUCUGACACAUCCGAUUCUUCUUGGCUUAAGUAAACUUCGAUAAUGUUGAGUCACGAACCAUAGAAAUUUGUUAUAAGUCGUUCACUAACUUAAUGAAAAACAUAGAGUGCAAUUGAUCUUUUCUUGAAGGAUAAACUGUUUUUUUAAUUAUGAUGGCACACGUUUACAUGAUCUGUAACAUUACCAAGGAGUAAUAGAACAUCCCAAUGUCCAAAAUCACAAAAAGCACGUAUGAGAAUAACCUUAGAAUUUCGUAGUUCGUUUUAGGUUAAAUUAUCACAAUUGUGGGUAUGAUUCUCAUAGCGUGGUCGUGACACUUAAUUUCAAAUUAGUUUAAAAAAUGAACAUCCGUAGUUAAUUGCUUUUCCUUUAAUAAAAUUGAGGUGUGCCAUCUAAUCACUUAGUCUAUGGCCCUCACAUCGAUAUCUUAAUUAGUGUAGAAAAUGCCUUGAACUCUCAUAAUUUGCUUUAGGCGCGUUUAAUUAAUUAAAUUGUCAUAGCUACGGGUACGGUUCCUGUGACGUAGUUGUGAUUCUUUAAUUUCUAAAAUCCGGGGGUAUAUUUAUGUGACCCAGCCACAAUUCAAUCUUGUUAAUAAAAUAAACAUGUUGUGGAUCGUGGGUACGGGUCCCCUGACACGAUUCGCGACGUGUAACUAAAUAAUUAAUUGUAUAACAAUUGGAUUAUUAAAAGCGGGUAAAAAGGAAUAAAAUACACAUAUGUUUCAAAGAUGUUUUAAAAUCAAAUAAAUGGGCCAAUAAUAACAGUUGAGCGACCGUGCUAAAACCACGAAACUCGGGAAUGCCUAACACCUUCUCUCGCGUUAACAAAAUUCCUUACCCGGAUUUCUGUGUUCACGGAAUGUAAAACAGAGUCAAUCUUUCCUCGAUUCGGGAUUUAAACCGGUGACUUGAGACACCAUAAAUUAUCCCAAGUGGCGACUCUGAAUUUUAAAUAAAAUAAUCCCGUUUCGAUUGUCACUUAAUAUGGAAAAAACUCCCUUAUAUACCUUAUCGGGGCAGUAAAAAGGAGGUGUGACAGCUCUGGUGACUCUGUUGGGGACUAGAAUCCAGAAUCUCUCGUUUAGGGUUCAAGAAUUCGAGCUUAGAAUAAAUUGUUAUACUUGGCUUUGUUUAUUAUCUGGUUUUAUUAUAUGUUUGGGUCUAAUGUGCUAAAUGCUGCUUUUUACCGCUUUGAUACUAUUUGAACUGUAUAUAAACUGCUACGAAACCCUUCUCUUCUCAUCUCCGGGGAUGUGCACGCUGGCGUGACUCCUCUUCUGUUAGUGUCAGAGCUUAGAUUAGGAAGAGGCUCGGACAAGUUACAAAGCCGGAUGGCCUUUUGGUUCCCGGUACGUAGCCCGCCCCCCCCCCCCCCCCCGACUCGAGUUGUCCGCUCGGGUACACAAGUCUAGAACAACAUACCCAGAUUUUGAACCUAGAAUAACUCAGCCUCAUGCCGGAUCCCUAGUAGGGGUGGUUGUUUGCAUCAUAUGCAUUUGACUUUGGGGACUCAACACAAGGGUUGGGUCCGUCUAGGACAGGUGUACCCAAAAAUAAAAGACCAUCCUGAUACAUCCUAAUGUGCUACAUGUUGCAAUCUUCAAGGGUAAAAGAAUCAUUUGGCGGAACGAUAAUAGUUGAGGGCAAAUGAAAAUAAAAAUAAAAAGAAAACAAGAGAGUGAAGUGUGAAAAUAAGGCAAGUAGGGCCCAGUUAUGUUUUCUUUCACUUUUUUUAAAAGAAAAGGGAAAAGAAUAUGAAAAAUUCAAAAAGAUUUUGCAUUUUUUCAUCAUUUUCCGAAAAUCAAAAAUAAAAAAAAAGGAAAAGAAAAUCCAAAAAGAGUUUAUAUGUUUCAUCAUUUUUCAAAACAAAAUAUGUUUUCUCUAAAUUAGUUGUUUUUUUUAAUUCUUGCCCGUAUCCAAUUUGCCCGAACUACGCAUAUCUGAUUCUCGUCUUUCGGGGCGUGAUACAUAGGCAACCCUCAUAGGGUCCGGUCUUCCUAGUGAAUUUAGGUUCUUGGCUUCGUGGGGUCUUAGUCAAAUCUUGCAUUUUUAGAAAAAAGAUAUGUAAUAAAUCAAAAUCCAAAAAAGAGGUUUUGCGUUUUUAUAUUUCCGUUAGAAGUUUUCUUUAGAAUACUAAUUCUAGGAAUUAAAUUUUUUUUAUUUGAGGUGGUUUUUCUUUAGGCAAUUAAUAUCUAGAACUCAAAAUAAAAAUUGCUUUUAUAUUUCCUUUUACUACAUUAAGAUUAAAAAAAAAGAAGAGAAUUUGUUUUAGUACCUCUAAAGGUUUUCUUUUAAGAUAUUAAUUCCAAUAAAUCCAAAAAAAAAAAAAGAUUUUCUUUUGAGGCUCUUCUUUGAGAAAUUCACGAAAAUGGAAAAAAAAAUUCUUUUUAUUUUCACUAGAACUUUAGGAUAUUGUACAUAGGAAAAAAAACAUGCUUCAUCUUGUGUUUAUCUUCAGAGUUUCUUUCUUAGGUAAUCAAAUUGAAAUCCAAAAAUAUUUUUUAUCUUUUUCGUUUCUUGUUUCGAAAUCUUUCUUCAAGAUAUCAAGUGAAAAUUCAAAAUACUUUUCUUUGGUUCAUUUUUUUUAGAUUUCCUUUAAAAAAAAUCAAAAAAUAUUUCUGUUCUAGGGGUUCUUCAUUAAUAAUUUCUCAUAGAGUAUCUGUUUCAAAAAGAAAAAAAACUUAUGUUCGUUUAAUAUUGAGUUUAGAAUAGGUUAUAGAACAUUAAGUCUAGAAAACUCAAAAAAAGAGAUUUGUUUUUUUCUUUUCUCAUCAAAAUAGUCAUUAAGAUAAAAAAAAAGAAAAAAAAAGAAAAAGGGAAAGAAAAGAAAUGAGAAUGUUAGUUUGUUUAUUUUAUUUCCGAUCUUUCCAAACUACGCAAAGAUCUGAUUUAUGCGUCGUCAUGAUACGUAGGCAACCUACAUAGGGUUCGAUCGAAUCAUUUUUUUUAAAAAAGAAGGAAAGAAAAGAGAAAAGAAAAAAGAAAGGUGAAAUUAUGGGAUGUGAGAAAUGAGAGAAAGAAAAGAGCGAUGAUUAAAAAAAAGAGAAAGGAAGGAAAAUGAGCAAGCCAAGAAGUACUAGAAAAGAAAGGAAAGAGAAGAUUGAAAAUAAUAAAUUGGGAUGAUGCCAUAUGACCUUCAUACCCUUGAAGUCAUUUACAACCGAUAACUGUGGCUAGGUGCAUUGCACAUAAAGUGAGAUUAUCUUAUGUUAAAUGUCCUAAUGCUAACGUGAUGACUUCAUUUUCAUAGUAGAAAGGUGGUUGGUUUGUGGUUCUUAAAGUGGUAACUCUUCUCUACAACAUAAGGUCGAAAGGCAAUGGCAGACAACAAUGGAAUUGAGUUGGUUGGUAUUGGUGCCCAAAAGCAAUUGGUUGAACAGGGCAAUGGAUUAGUUGAAGAGGUAAGGAUGUUAAGACAACACAUUGCGGACAUGUAUCAGGCUUGGAUGACUGGGAAGACACCACCCCCGCCACCAUCUAGCUUCUUAGAUGCUCCCCUUACCCAAACUCCGGUCGUAGUGCCAGAUGAUCCCCUAUACUCUCUAAAUCCACCCGCUUAUCACAGCUUUUCCAACCACCCUAGUAGCUCCAUCACUCAUCCUCUAAUUACAUCUCCCCAAAAUUGCCCUCCUGUGAUAUCCACUAUCCCUAUGAUCACAACUUUUUUACAAUCUUCCCUUCAUAGGUCCGACAAUGAACAUCCACUCAAAGCCCAUGAUGCCCAAUAUUACCCCUUAGAGGUUGCCCAUAAGGUUCCUGACUCAUACAAUCAGAGCAUUUGGAAUGAGCCUCAUGUUGAAAAUGAAAAGUUUACAGGAAAACAAGGACGAGAUGAGCUAUCCAGAAAACUGAAAGGAUCUAAAACGUCAAAGCUUAAUUUAUAUGAUGGACGUGGAGAUCCAGUAGCCCAUCUGAGAGGUUAAUGUAGUAAAAUGAGAAGUGUUGGCGGGAAAGAUAAUUUGUUGAUGGCGUAUUUCAGUGAGAGCUUGACUGGGGAAGCCUUGCAAUGGUAUACUCGUCAAGAUGUCAAUAAGUAGUAUGCAUGGGAUGACAUGGUUCAGGAUUUUGGUCGACUCUUUCGGUACAAUCUGGACAUUAUCCCAGAUCGCUCCUCCCUAUCUAAGAUGAAAAAAAAACCCGAGAAAAGUUUUAGGGAGUUUGGGCUCAGAUGGAGGGAACAAGCUGCUCGGGUUAGCCCCCCGAUCGGUGAAGAAGAAAUGGUUGAGCUUUUCCUACAAGCCCAGGGCCCCACCUACUUCAGUCAUUUGAUCCCGGCCUUGGGUAAACCUUUCAAUGUUGUGGUAAAAAUGGGGGAGAUGGUAGAGGAGGGAAUCAAGUCAGGCAAAAUCAUGAGUUAUUCUGCAUUGAAAGACACUACAAAAGACAUUCAGAACAUCUCAGUAUGUUUGGAUGGAAGAAAGAGAAAUAGAAAAGAUGUUGUUGAGCCACGUCAACGAUAGGAUCCAGUGGGCAUUCCUGCUCAACGCUUUCUGCCUCGAUAUCGACCCCAUGGAUAUCCUUGUGCUCCAGAUAAUCCUUCCCAAUGCUACUUCUCUCCACAAAACCCCCGAAGUCGUACAUUACCUUCCCAGUACUCCAUCCAUAAUGCACCACUAUAUGCUCCACAGCCACGAGACCCGCGAUGGCCUGCAUCACUUCCACAAAUGUAUUACCCGCCCCCUCAAGCAUAUCAACCACCUACCCGCAAAAGGUUCCAAUCGAGGCCAGAGUACAAGAUAAAAAGACAAAAGCAAAAGGAGAAGACUUUCACUCCCAUUGGAGAAGCAUAUGCCAGUUUGUUUCAAAGGUUGAGGCAAUUGGACAUGUUGAAGUCGAUUCAGAUAAAAAUGCUGAACCUUAUUCCAAAGAAUUUUGAUUAUUCUCAAGGGUACACAUAUUGCUCUGAUGCCCUAGGUCACAACACAGAAAAGUGUUGGCACUUGAAAAAAGCAAUUCAAAGCUUAUUGAUGCAGGUGACAUUGUAGUGCAAAAUCCAGAUGCAGUAGACACUAGCCAAAGUCCAUCGCCUGUUCAUAAUGAGACGCAUAUGAUGUGUAUGAUUUUUUUGAAAAGGAAUAUGAGAAUUCUUCUGAGAUCCUCGGAGGUCCACGUGUUGCAAAGCUUUCAACGGUAUCAGAGGUUGAUCUUAAGAACGAGCUGGCAAAAGGGAGCCAAAUGCAAUUUGCUAAAGUCAAUAUGAUGGAGACUUGUGAAGGUUCUAUUAAUGUUGAUGCGGAACUCAGUAGCUAAUAUGUCGAACUUGGUAAUUGGAAAGACGCUCCUUUCUUGGCUAUCCGGGGAGAAGUCUUGGUGGUUUAUUUUGUUGUCAUUUCUGUUGUUUGAGUUAUUUUUAGGGUUGUAAUCCGAAUAUUGUCUUGUGACUCAAACCCUUAUAUCCUUUUAUUUUGCCUAGUUCCUUUAGUCGUAGUAACUCAUUUAGUGUUAUCUAGUUUUGUUCCAAGGUUGUACCCCAGUUUAUUUUGCUUGUCUUAUUGCUCAAACCCUUUCACUAUCUGUCUAAUGUAAUUUUCUGAUUUCUGUUAUUUCUAGUCAUUUUUGAUUAGUUCUCUUUUCCUUUUAUAGUUCUUUUCAUGCUGGUUCUAGUGACAUGACAUACAAGCAUAAUUCUAGUCUGGUCAUAAAAGUUAGUUUAGUCAUGAAGCAAUAAAAUAACUUUGAAUAAGAUAAGGACAUUUGAGGGAAGUAAGUAAAGGGAUUUUGAGAUAACUUAAAACCCGAAUUGUGUGAAACUGUGGUAGAUAAUUUGGAAAGUUAAUAGGGCGACAAGAAUUCGUUAAGGGAGAGUGAAUCCCAGACAAUUUGAAGCAAGAAACUUUGAGUUCAAGUGCAUCUCAAGUUACAAGAUAAAGUCAAGGAAGUUUUAUCCGAAUUGACGGAGGAUAUCCAUUGUGAAAAGGGAAUCACCCAACGAGGGUUCUGUACUUGACAAGGCGUUAAAGAAAAGAGAAGGCAUAUCAGUAAUAUCAAUGUCGAAGUCGCAAAAGAAAUAUUGUGCAUGAUCUUAAAUUCAUUUCAAGUUGCAUGUGUUGCACUUGGCAUCUUUAGGGAUUGGGAGUCCCUCUUUCAGUUACCCAAACACUUAUACCAUUUGAUACCCUCUUGAGCUUGUACUAAUUUCUUUGACCUCCCCUCUUUUGGAAUCAAGUUAGAGUCAUAAACAUGCCCCCAUAGGUUUAUUUUAAAAAGUUCAUUCCAAAAGGAAAAUUCAAAAAAAAAAGAGAAAAAAAGAGAUAAAGAAAAAAAAAGAAAAGAACAAAAAAAGAAAAAGGAAAAAAAGAAAGGAAAAAGAAAAAAACAAGAAAAAAGAAAAGGAAAAUAGUAACAAAAGUAGUCUUGUUGUGAAAAUCUGGCCGGUCGUCUUAAGAAUUAAUGCCCCGAUCCCUUAUUAAUUGCUUUCCCCAAGUUUAAUUAUGCUAUUUGAUUGCUGGGAUGUUCGGUUUUGAGUUUCGGAGAGUUCUGAGACACUUAGUCCCUAAAUGAGAGCUUAAGUGUUGGAAAGUUGACCGUCAUUGGAACAGUAUGAAAACGGCCUCGAAAUGGAAAUACGAUGGUUCUGUUAGUUCCGUUAGAUGAUUUUGGGCUUAGGGGUGUGUUCAGAUCGUGUUUUGGAGGUCCGUAGCUAAUUUAGGCUUGAAAUGCCGAAAGUUGAAUUUUUGAAGUUUCCGAUCCGAUAGUGAUGAAAUUCCGGAAGUUGGAGUAGCUCCGUAGUGUUGAAUGUGACGUGUGUGCAAAAUUUCAGGUCAUUCGGACGAGGUUUGAUAGACUUUUGAUCGAAAUCAUAUUUUGAGAAUUUUGGAGUUCUUAGGCUUAAAUCCAUGGUUAAUUCGAGGUUUCAAUGUUGUUUUAGGUGUUUAUGGAUUAGUACAAGUUGGGAUAGUGGUUUGUGACUUGUUGGUGCCUUUGGUUGAGGUCCCGGAGGCCUCGAGGUGAUUUCGGAUGGUUAACGAGAAGUUGUGAAAAUGUUGCAGCUGCUGUAUUUUCGCAGCUUCUGGUAUUUUCACAUAUGCGGUUUGGGGACCGCAGAAGCGGCUAAGGAGACCGCAAAAGCGGAUUUAGGUCUUUUCUUCAGGUUCCGUAGAUGCGGAAGGAAUACCGCAGAAGCGGUGGAGCAUCUACGAAAGGGUAAUCGCAAAUGCGGUUUCUGGUCAUUUAAAUGAGUCACAGAUGCGACAUAGUUUCCGUAGAAGCGGGACCGCAGAUGCGGUCCAAGGGUCUCAAAUGCGGAAAUCGCUGGGCAGAACAUAUAAAUAGUUGCCUUUUCGAAUUUGAACUUUUCUUUCACCAUUUUCAUCUGGGUNNNNNNNNNNNNNNNNNNNNNNNNNNNNNNNNNNNNNNNNNNNNNNNNNNNNNNNNNNNNNNNNNNNNNNNNNNNNNNNNNNNNNNNNNNNNNNNNNNNNNNNNNNNNNNNNNNNNNNNNNNNNNNNNNNNNNNNNNNNNNNNNNNNNNNNNNNNNNNNNNNNNNNNNNNNNNNNNNNNNNNNNNNNNNNNNNNNNNNNNNNNNNNNNNNNNNNNNNNNNNNNNNNNNNNNNNNNNNNNNNNNNNNNNNNNNNNNNNNNNNNNNNNNNNNNNNNNNNNNNNNNNNNNNNNNNNNNNNNNNNNNNNNNNNNNNNNNNNNNNNNNNNNNNNNNNNNNNNNNNNNNNNNNNNNNNNNNNNNNNNNNNNNNNNNNNNNNNNNNNNNNNNNNNNNNNNNNNNNNNNNNNNNNNNNNNNNNNNNNNNNNNNNNNNNNNNNNNNNNNNNNNNNNNNNNNNNNNNNNNNNNNNNNNNNNNNNNNNAGUGGUGAAAAAUUUGGGAAAAAUGGGUAAUUAGGGCUUGAGUUUAAGAGACAUUUGAAUAAGGAUUUGAGGGGUCAUUUGGACUCCAAUUUUAGUGUUCUUGUUAUGUAUAGACUCGUGAGAGUACGAGGUUUCUGAAAAUAUAAAUUUCACCUGAUUCCGAGACGUGGACCCGAGGGACAUUUUGGUCAUUUUACUUAAUUUCGCGUAUUAGCUUAGAAUUUAAUUGUAGAAUCAGUUACUUGAAGUGUUAUUUAUAUUAUGCAAUUGAAUUGAAUAGAUUUGGGCCAUUUGGAGUCGAGUACUCGCAAAGACGUGGUGUUGGGUUGAUUUUGAGCCGGUUCGAGGUAAGCGGCUUGUCUAACCUUGUGUGGGGGACCUUCCCCUUAGGAUUGGUAUGUUUGGUAAUUGAAAUGCCUUGUACGUGAGGUGAUGAGUGCGUACUUGUGCUAAUUGUUUGAAAUCCGAUUUUCUUUAAGUAAUUACUAGUAUGUUUCCUUUCCUGUUUCUAUUACUUGUACUAUUAAGCCUGUUGUUAGCUUAGGAAAGCAUGUCUAAGUGACUUAAUUGUUUUAUUUGAUUCAACCUGCCUUACUUGAAUUCUGUUCAACAUGCUAGGCUAGAAUCACUUAUUGCCUUAAUAUGAAAUUUUGCAUUUCUGUAUAUCUUCCUGCUGCUGUUGUGUAUUUAUUUUGGGACUACUGAUGUGGGAUUCCAGUAGCUCUCCCUUGUCUGUUUACUUUGGGACUACGGGUUAGAUUCCCGGUAGACCCCCCUACAUAUUUACUUUGGGACUACGGGUUAGAUUCUCGGUAGAUCCCCCUGUACAGUUAUAUAGAACUACGGGAAUGCACCCGGUAGAUUCCCACAGUACUGGGUAUUUACAUUUGGGACUGUGGAAUGGGAUUCUAGUAGAUCCCCACGCACUAUGAGUUGGACUACGGGAUGGGAUCUCGGGAGCUCCAUUGGAUAUAUACAUAUGGGACUACAGGACGGUAUCCUAGGAGAUGCCCGAUUGUUAUUAUUGGUACUGAGCUGUAAUUCCUUUCCAUGUUUACCUUGUUUUCUGUAUAGUUGUUGCUGUCCUGUACAUCCUGUGUUAUUUUACUGCCGUACUUAUUUAUACUGUUCUGUUCUAUACUGUUGAUCUUUAUAUUUUACUUGACCUUAGUAGGGCCCUGACCUUCCUUGUCACUACCCAAUCAAGGUUAGGCUCAACACUUAUUGAGGACCGCUGUGGUGUACUCAUGCCCCUUCUGCGCAUGUUUUUCAUGUGCAGAUCUAGGUACCGCUAUUCAGGCCUACCAUCCUUGAGAGAAGCAACUGCUUAGAGACUUCGAGGUACAUCUGCCGCAUCUGCAGACCGAGAAGUCCCUUUCUAUUCAUGCUUUUAGUACUUAGCCCUUCUAUACUUCUGUUCUUAUUAAACAAAAUUCCG